CUGGAUAUAGGACAAUUUGGUAGUCCGCUAGUUUUGGGAACAGACGUUGUAGGUUCGAGUCCUACUAUCCAGA
rnacentral:tRNA from 1 species